AACGCGAAGAACCUUACCUGGGCUCGAAAUAUAGAGGACGAUAUCAGAGAUGAUAUUUCUCGAAAGGGUCUUUAUAUAGGUGCUGCAUGGCUGUCGUCAGCUCGUGCCGUGAGGUGUUUGGUUAAGUCCAGCAACGAGCGCAACCCUUAUCGUUAGUUGCCAACGCGUAAAGGCGGGAACUCUAACGAGACUGCCUGGGUUAACCAGGAGGAAGGUGAGGAUGACGUCAAGUCCGCAUGGCCUUUAUGUCCAGGGCUACACACGUGCUACAAUGGUCGGUACAGAAGGCAGCGAAACCGUAAGGCGAAGCAAAUCCUGAAAAACCGAUCUCAGUUCAGAUUGUAGACUGCAACUCGUCUACAUGAAGUUGGAAUUGCUAGUAAUGGCGUGUCAGCAACAACGCCGUGAAUACGUUCCCGGGCCUUGUACACACCGACUGUAC
rnacentral:rRNA from 1 species